UCCUUAGUACACGUGGUCUAGUGGCUAGGAUAUCUGGCUUUCACCCAGAAGGCCCGGGUUCGAUUCCCGGCGUGGGAA
rnacentral:tRNA from 1 species